AUUUAUAUAGUAUAACAAUUAUAUUUGACUUCCAAUCAAAAGACCUAGGGAACUAGUAUAAAUA
rnacentral:tRNA from 1 species